rnacentral:rRNA from 1 species
UUUGAACGCUGGCGGCAGGCCUAACACAUGCAAGUCGAGCGAGCGGCGGACGGGUGAGUAAUGUAUGGGGAUCUGCCUGAUGUCGGGGGCUAACUACUAGAAACGGUAGCUACUACCGCAUACCGUCAGAUGAACCCAUAUGGGAUUAGCUAGUAGGUAAGGUAACGGCUGACCUAGGCGACGAUCCCUAGCUGGUCUGAGAGGCUGAUCAGCCACACUGGGACGGAGACACGGUCCAGACUCCUACGGGAGGCAGCAGUGGGGAAUAUUGGACAAUGGGCGCAAGCCUGAUGCAGCCAUGCCGCGUGUGUGAAGAAGGCCUUCGGGUUGUAAAGCACUUUCAGCGAGGAGGCGUGACUCGAAGAAGAAGCACCGGCUAACUCCGUGCCAGCAGCCGCGGUAAUAC